rnacentral:misc_RNA from 1 species
GAUGAAGAACGCAGCGAAAUGCGAUAAGUAGUGUGAAUUGCAGAAUUCAGCGAAUCAUCGAAUCUUUGAACGCACAUUGCGCCCUUCGGUUAUUCCUUAGGGCAUGCCUGUUCGAGCGUCAUUUCAACCUUCAAGCCUGGCUUGGUGUUGGGCGCUGUCCCGCCUCCGCGCGCGGACUCGCCCCAAAUGAAUUGGCAGUCGCACCCUCCGAGCCGCGAGCGCAGCACAAGUCGCGCGGGCGGAACUCUGGGGGGACGGACGCUCCACAAGACCCUUUCUCAGUCUUGACCUCGGAUCAGGUAGGGAUACCCGCUGAACUUAAGCAUAUCAAUAAGCGGAGG